AAAAUCCGUCGACUUGAAAAAUCGUGAGGGU
rnacentral:tRNA from 1 species